GGUGAAAUGUGGACCAAACAUGCGAGGGGGAACCGCAAAGUUUUGAUUUUGUUCAGGACUUUGGUGUGAGGCAGGCGCCCCGCCAAGGCUCCGUCACGUUAUUGCUGCUCGGGAGAAGCUCCUCUGGUGAAGGAAGCCAGAAAGCGGCGCCCGGCUCGUUCCCUUCCCGAAUUCCAAGCGCAUUUGAUCAUCCCCUUCUCUUCCCAGCAUCUACCAAAGUGCCUUCGCUUCCCCUGGACUGCCGCGUUGAGGACAAGCUAAAUCCGUGGUCAUUCAAGAUCCUUAAAAAAAAAAGUGUCUCCCCCCCACACGAAAACAACCCAGAGGUUUGAUGCUUACAGCUCGUCACAUUUAUGUCGUUUAUUUUUAUAUAUUAUUAUUUUUUGGUUCCUUUUUAAAUUUAAAAAAAAAGGGUUUUCAAAUUAAAAUUUUACAGAGCUAUAUCAAACAUAAAUAAUAAAAACAAGAUUCCAAGGAAUCACCUAGACUUCCAUCCUCCCCUUUGCGGGUCCUGUUAUUCAUUCUUUCCUCCUGCAUCUUUUAUGAUAAUCCAAAUCCUUUACCUCAUCCAUUAUGUCCAGAAUUCAACCUUAAACUACAAGUGAUAUUUCAAUCCUGCUAACGAUUUUACAUUUAUGUCAUUUGUUAAUGCUUGGGUCAUAGACCUUUCACAUAUAAGAUAACCUAGCAGUAUAAAAUGCUGCAAUAAAAAUCACAUUGCUGCCUGGAAGAAUCCUACGUAAAACCUACCAUCUUUACAAUACUACAUUGAUCACAUGUAACCUAUAUAGAACUUAGCAUAUUAAAAGGGUAAAAUUUAAUAUAGAUUUAAAUAUAUAUAUUAAAAGAUAUUAUGGUUAAAUAAGAGCACCCCCAAAGCAGUCAGCUGCAAUCUCCUUAAUAAUAACCCUUGCCCAGAUUUUCAUUGGUUGCUAGGGCAAAGAGAGAGAGAGAGACCUUGUGGGUUAUCCUGCAAUCAGUGUCCCACAAGGUCUCUCUCUUUGCCCUGGCAGCAAUGAAAAUACAUUGAUGCGGUUCACUUCACAGCCACAAUAGGAAAGGCUUUCCAAUAAGCCAGCUCUUGUUGCACUCCAGGGUGACGGAACUGUGCCGGGGCCAGCCCUGCUAUGAGGCAGAAUGAGGUGGCCGCCUCAGGCAAGGGAGGAAGGGAGUGCAUGAGAGGGCUCAAGGCUUACUGCUAUCUUGUUGUUUUACACUAAGAUAAGAUGGCCCAGACAUGUCCAUUACAACACUUCCAUGCACCCACCCAUAGAAGGAAUUGUUGGAUGAUGAGAAAAGGCUCAGUGUUAGUCAUGGGAUCCAUUUCUAUAUGUUUCACUCUUUCCUUUUUCCUCACAAAUUUGCACAGAUUCUGUGCGCAUUUUUACUUUUGUACACUGUGACUUCUGUUCUUUCACCUGAUGAAAAGUAAGGGUGGCAAGAUUUAAUUGGCAGGUUAAUCAUCCCACAGUGUUAGCCGUGGACCUAAAGAGCUGCUUGGGCUCACACCAGGAGCCUGCACUAGCCCAGUGUAUUUUUUAUUUGAACAGCCGACCCCAUGCCAUCACAGAAUUUCGAACAGCCUUUGAAGCACUUUUCAGCUUCAAAAGCAAUUUGUCAUAUGGUGGAGGGCUGUUUAAGAAAGGCAAGUCUAAAGCAACCUUGGAAUCAUGGAACUAGCUUGGUGGUUUUCUGGAUCAUGGCCAUAGCUGCAGGCCAUAUUUAAUUGGUGAGAGAAAUCUUUAGCCAACCAGGGUGCAAGCCUUUCUUUUUUAGGCUUUUUAUUCUCUUAAGGUAACAGUAAUUAGGAAUGAGCAAUAUUAAAGAUGUUUGGGUUUUUUACCCCAUCUAACAAUGACUGGAGGCUUUGUUUAAUACAUUGUAGGGUAUCUUAACUUUUCCUUCGCUAUCCCAUAUAGAUUCUGAUGUUUUGAUAAUAUGCCCAUUUAUUUACAUCUAAUCCAUUAAAAUACAAAUUGCAAACCAACUCCCAAUUAUUAACAGUUGAAAUACCUUACAGAAAAUGAAAGUAGGCAAAUAUAACUUUGUUCAUCCUCAUGCCUAUGGCUGUAUUUGCUCUCCUAGAAGUCUAAAUUCAAUGGCAAAAAUCAUAUUUGCAAAAUAUAACUGGGUUUUUCUUGUGGGUGCAUUCUGCAACAUGUCAUUGGCUCAAUAAUAUUGCAUUAGUGGUGGAUUUAUACUGACCUAUCCACACAUCAUUCAGCUUUACUAGUUGUUCUGUGGGGCUUCCCCAGUGGUGCUUCCCCAGUGUUACUGGAUUAUUGCCAUCUGAAGGGGCACUCUUGCACUAUAGUGCAAUGAAAGCAGACAAAAAUAAACUGGAACAUUUGUGUAUAAAAGGUUACAGGAUUUCAGCAGGAAGAUACAGGACAUGCACCAAUUGAAAAUGAAGCAGUAUGUGUGCCCUAAAAUGUUUGCAGGAACAAACAAAAUUGAGAGCAGUGUUUUGUUUAGCCAACCCAGUACCAUCAUGAACACAAAGCAUUGUGAAUGCACAAUUUAAAAAAAGACUUCCAGAGGACCCCCCAAAAUAUCAGCAUUAUACCAUUUUUCUCACAAAUAUGUCACACAUAGGUAAGCAAAGAAAAAGAAUGGAGAAAGUUAUGAUUUUUUAUAUUCCAAGGAACUUGGAGGGGAGAAUACUUUAUUCCAUUACAUUCCACAGUCAGAGAUCGUUUACAAAGCUAUGUUGCAACCCUACAACCAGAUAAUUUGCCUAGAAUUUAUCACUGUUGAAAUCCCGAUGUAUUUUAAAUAACAUUUGUAGAGGCAUGUUGCUUUGUACAUUUAAAAGUGAAUGCCUUCUGGGCUCAUUUUAAUGAUGUAUGUUCAAUGAACAGAUGUUAUUGUUGCUGCUAAAGUGCUAUGCUAAAUAGUUCGGGGCAAUCUUUGUUUCUUUUUUCACCCUGAGUGUGGCUCCCACACACCAGCAUUUGGAACAUCAUCAGGGUCGGUUGUAUAAACAGAUUUAAAGGCAAAAGCUGGAUUCAGUAUUUUAAGCAAGCUCUCUUGUAUACAGAGCAUAUUUUCCAGCAACUCCCAAAUGUAUAUCAGUUUAUGAAUAAUAACAGAUGGAUAUUGGGUAUUACUGCAACCAUUUUGGGGCUGCAAUUAAGCUUCUUUGUAAAGCUUAGCUAUAUAACAUCCACUAGAUUCAAUGCUUCUUUAAUUUGUUCCUCUAAACUAUGCUAGCUGCUUUUUCAUAGGUUAGAACUGAGAGUGGAUUAGGUAAAAUCAUUAUUAAUAGUCUGUAAAAUAACACAUCCAUUUGGGAUGUUUGGCUAUUUUCUGAUUCUGCAUUACUAAACCAGAGGGGACAUUUUGUUUUUACUAUUAAAUCUCAUUGUAGCUUUUGAUCACCUUUAUAUGUAACUGUAAAUGCAGAGCUCAUGUAUGUGCUUAUACUGUACAAUGUAACUGAAAUCAUGCUACUUAUUAGGACACUGAUGAUUUAAAUUCUUUGGUGGGGUAGCAAGAAAUUUAUCUUUGGGUAAGCUCACUCUCCAUACCCUCUUGCACACAUAAUCUUCAAUCAGAUCACUCAUUCUUGCUGCUGUCUCUGGAGGACAAUCAGCCACAAGCCAGCAGACACAUGCAUCCAAUCAGCAAUCAUUAUCUGUUUCCAGGCCCCACCCCAUCCCCAUGAGGUUGGAAAACACAUUUUUAACAAGGAAUUCCUUUUCAUCCAUUGAAAUAGUGUCCAGGACUGACCACAUAAGAUGUUGGGACACAACACUCCUCCAUUUAACAUUCUUUCUCCCGAUUGGUAAUGGUAGUGAAUCUGGAGUCCUAUAGACUACAUGUUAGGAUUAAGUCCAGGUGGAUGUGAGCAAACACCCCCAGACAAUCCAUUUGCAUUGUUUUGUAUUUUGUCUCUUUGCAAUUUUGUGUCACACAAGGAUGAAUGAGAUCAGGAGAGCAGCAGGAGUACAGUCAAAGGCCAUAACAAAUUAUAAUAGUAAAUGUAAUAUAAUUAAAUACACAGAGCACAUACAGGUGAAAAGAUUGCAAGCCUUGCCUGUUAAAAGUAUGAUUUAGCUCCUUGUUGCAAACAAUAGAAAGUCCAAUAUCCUAAAGACUCAGGAAUCAAAUAAACAUAACUCCAAAUUGUCACAAGAUUUUAUGGGGGGAACUACUAAUGAUUUGAUCACUGGAACUACAAAUACUAGGGCAUUUUUGCUUCCAGAGCUGGCAAAGUCUGAGCGGUUAGUGAGGGCUUCCCAUUCUUUCCAACUUCCCUAGAAUUAUUUCUUGUCAAGCACACUUCGUGCUAAACCUGACCACUAUGUGGUAGUAUUAACAUUAACACUGGGAACAAAUAUUUCCAUCCAUAUUUGAAAAUGUACAGUUGCUCAACUCUGUAAUAACUCUGUGACUUGUCAAGUACUUCAAAUAUACUUGGUAGCAGUGUUAUAUUUUCACAGAGUUAUGGUUAAUCUAUUUGUUUGACAUAAACCUCAGUGAUGUGAAAUCACAAUGGUUAUUUCACAAUAAUACUUGCUCAUUUACCUACCAUUCCCUUUUGUGGCUGCAUAUUUUUUUAUUUAAAAAACCAUAAAAGCAACCUUAAUGCCUCCCCGCAAGUUCUAAUACAAUUAUUUGGUCAAUUAUUUUUCUACUAAAACAUCACUCACUUACUAAAGGACUUGGUAAUAACUAAGUAUAUUGCUGUGAGUGGUUUGUCAUCAAAUAAUAUUCUGCCACACACCUCCAUCAAACUAUACCACCCUUUCUAUUGUGGAAAAAAGUGCCAAUGUCACUUUCCUGGAUAAGGAGGUUCUAGUACUGUGAGUACAACAGCUAGAUUCCUUCCUGUAUUCAAACAUGGAUGUGUGUGUAUGUAUCAUACUGUACUGGAAAAAUACUUCACUAAUGGCCAUUAUUUGCUAAAUGUCCAAGAUUCCAAAUGUCUACCCUGGUUUCUUUCAAAUCUACAGUUGUACCUUGGAAGUCGAACAGAAUCCAUUCCAGAAGUCCAUUCGACUUCCAAAACUUUCGGAAACCAAAGCACUGCUUCUGAUUGGUUGCAGGAAGCUCCUGCAGCCAAUAAGCUGUGGAAGCCCUGUCAGAUGUUCAACUUCCAAAAGAACGUUCGAAAACCAGAACACUCACUUCUGGGUUUCGAUCGUUCAGGAGCCAAAAUGUUCGAGAACUAGGCUGUCUGAAAACCAUGGUACAACUGCACUUCCUUCCCCUUAAAAACCCUGCAGAGGUUAUCCUUUUCUGCUAUCCUUAUUGCAACUCUACUGUGGCAUGUGCUAGCCAGAAGAGAUCCAUGAUACUAUAAUGUAAUGUACAAUAAACCUGAGAUAACACUUUAGAAAAGCAAGCAUGGCCAUCUCUGCAACUUGCUCUGAAAGCUGGAGCCAGUACAAGGAAGUAUCAGUCAAUCCGUGUCCAUUCAAAUGGAAGAGUUACUGUCUUCUUGUUUGUUUUUCUUAAGUUCCUUGGCAUUUCCCCCCCACAGAAUUCUAUUUCUGCAUCCUACUGUUUGAAGUCAUCCCAAUCCUUUUUGGCAGCACAUUGUUUUUUGCAGUCUCAGCAGUCCUUGUGGUGAACCUUUGUCUGCCAUCCCCAGUUGCCUCUGGUACCCACAGAGCUCCUGCCAGGUUGCAACAUCACAGCUUCAGUGUGACUACAUACAGAAAGCUACUUUGUUACUUCCACUUUAACUGCUGCCCGAGCUACUUUGCAAGAUAAGACCUUUCCAGACAAAGGUCCUUUCUUGUGAAGGUAGUAUCAUUUUCUCUUAGCUUUUUACUCAUUAUAGUCACAUCCAUCCUCAUGUAAUGGAACAGAGCAGGAAAAGCCUUGCUGGUAGAGAAUAUUCAUCAAUUAUUUAUUGCAGAAGAUCCCCUUGCCUGGCAGUCUUGACAGACCAUCAGCCUUUGCCCCCUGCUAAUGGCCCAUCCAGCUUGCUCUGCCAGCUGGCUUGGUUCCUAAGCAUAACUAAAUCCAGGGGGUUUCUGUGUUUGGCAAAGUUUAAUCAAACCUGGAUUAAUUCUAAAUCAUAACACGUUUAGGGGGAUCUAGCCCCCCCCCCCAAAAAAAACUCAUUACAAUAUUCUAUUUUUUAUGCAUUCUUGACCAUUAUCAGGUUCUGAGUAUCUGAUCGAGCUUGCUUCUGUGUGUGUAGAAAUGACCUUUUCUCUCUCUUCCCACCCUCUUAAAGUUUUACAUAUUAAUUAAAGAAAUUAAUGUUUUUAGAAACCAUCAUGAAGCUAUUCAGGGAGACACUGCUUGAAUACAUUGAAACCAGAGGCAAAAUCUAUUGUAAAGUUAUUUAAAUAUUUACAGACUUCUGUCUCCUGAUGCAACAUCUCCUCUUUGCAGUGGCGUAGCGUGGGUUGUCAGCACCCGGGGCAAGGCAAGUAAUUUGCGCCCCCUAACCCGUGGAUUUUAGCACGCCCCCCCAGCGCCCCCCCCCAUGUUGCGCCCGGUGCGGCUGGCCCCCCCUGCACCCCCACGCUAUGCCACUGCCUCUUUGUGCACAGAAUCACCACUGCCAGGCAAGACCGCUUUUACCCUGUGCUCUGACAAUACCAACCCCUUACUUUCCCUUGAAAACCAACCCAGUAUUUCACAACACAAUGGUUCCACUAACUGCCAAGCAACAAAGAAGAGCGUAGCCAUGGGAACAUCACAGCCUAAGGCCAUCUUGGCCAAGCUGGUGCCCCCCAGAUGUUUUGGACUGCAAUUCCCAUCAGCCCCAACUAUGCUGACUGGGGCUGAUGGGAAUUGAGUCCAAAAUGUCUGGAAGGAACAGGGUUAGCAUGGGCUGGCCCUUAGCACUGCCCUCACACCACUGACCCUUUCCCCAUAUUAUGCAUUUUAGUCUCUUGUUUCCCUGUGCAAGACAAAUGGCCCUUUAAUUGUUCCUCAUAUACAUCAUGAACAGAUCACCAACAGUGGCUUUCUGAGAGCCUUCCCUUUAUUACACACCUUAGUUACUUUGAGAAGCAUAGCAAACUUUUUCCCAUUUCAGUAGUGCAAGUUGUAUUAAGCUGCUUCCACAGUGGGCAUUUACUGUGGAAUACCUACACUUUGUUCACUUUUUACAAGGCAUCUACACAGUGCAUGAACAAAACAUACCUUUCUUACUUUUUUCUCUGUUCAGCUUCCUUCCUCCAACUUAAAAAGAGCUAAGAAAAAUCCAACUUUUUAAACUCAAUGCAAUACCUGCAAACUUUCUACUGUUGUGGGUGGUCUUUCAUGCUAUUAUUCUGACUUCCAUAGAUUGCUCUAGCUAGUCAUUUCCUUUAUGGACUGCCUCUCAGCUUUAUCACUUCAUCCCUUCCCUUUCCAAAUAGCAGUACCGUUACAUCUAUUUCUCCCCUUGCCCCCCAAUUUCAGCAGGCAGGGAUUACGAUCAGAAAUUCAGUAACAAAUACUUAACAAAAUAUACACACACAAAAAUCCUAAUGAAAGUCACAUAUCCAAAAAUAAUCCAGUGCUGGAGAAAAGGUGCAAGAAGUCUGAAAGCAGAGCUGCUAUUUCACUUCCCGCUUAAAGUAGAACAGAAAUAAUUACUGCUAAAUUGUCCACAUCUGGAAGCCCCCUCGGUUGCUAUGAUACAAAUAGGUUGGAGAUAGCUCCCACACUUCGGCUCUUUAGCGUUGUUCUUCCUCUAUUAGAUGGAAGUGAAAUUAAAAUGGUCAGCUCACAUGGAACUUAGUGUAGCAUUGUUCCUUAUAACAAUCCCACAGUGUCUCUCCCUUUGCCCCAGGUCCUAAAUAACAUUGAUUUUGAACUGUUUAAUUUGCUUAGGUUUUAUUUUGUGUGUAAUUCAAGUCGCACUAUGCAUAAACUGCUUGCAACAUAGUUUUACAUAAAAGUGACUGUCAGUGCAGUCCUGUCCUCUGUAUUCACAGAGGGAGAUAUGGGGCAGAUCCCAGAGCCUUAACUAGUUUAUGCAGGCAGGGAGUCUGAAGAGCAGAAGCAGAUAGUGAUGAUAAGAGAUGAAGGUCUAGGCCUAACAGACAAAAUAAACACUGAGAAAUCACUGAGACCAGAUAUGAACUCAAAUGUGAAAUUGCUGAUCUUCUUUAAAAAUGUGUAACUUGUCCUUUGGGUCAGCCUCUAUACCUGAGGACUGGAAAGUGGCCAGUGCAGCACAAUUUUUUAAAAAGGGAUCCAGGUGGGAUUCUGGAAAUUGCUGGCUGGCUAGCUUAACAUCUGUCCCAGGAAAACUGGUGGAAAGUACCGUUAAAAAAACAACAACCAAGCAUAUAGAAGAACAAGCUUUGCUGAAGCAGAGCCAGCAUGUCUUCUGCAAGGGCAAGUCUUGCCUCACUAACUUGCAGGCAGCAAAGGACAGUAACAGCACAAACGUAAACAUCUACUCACUCAUAAAUGUUGUAUUUAAUUCAAUGUGGCUUGUUCCCUGGGAAGUGAGGUUAGGACUGUAGCUUAAAGUUUCCUUCUGCAAAUUUUCUUAUGGUAGCUUAUCAUAGGAUUCAGGCCACUGUGAAUUAAAUACUUUAUAGCAUCAAUAAUUGUUUUGAUAUCCAAGUUUAGAACAAUCAUUUGGUUCCCCAGAUGAAAAUUUAUUUUCUGUUGUAUGUGCUUGUGGCAAUGUAAAUUAUCACUUCCUGAUAAGACACCGAGGUGGUUUGAGGUUUCCUGCAGUGCAGUUGUCUAUUGAAACUGAAAGGUUAUCUCUGCCUAGUCUCAGUUCAUAGAAAGAAAAGAGAAGUGAAUGAAUGAAUUAUAUCUUCUUACCCAUAGAGUUCACAGCUAUGGCAUGAACUGUGUUUGCAAAAAAUAGACUUAAAGAGCAGUACAGUCAAGAGCCCCAUUGAUUUUAAUUAGGAAUCCAUCAGUGCAUGCAUUUAAGUGUCCCGUUUAAAUCAGUGGGAUGCCGAAGCACUUAUUAUGCUGUUUAAUUUUAGAUACCAUGUGCAUCCACAGCAAUGACCAGAGGAGGAAUGAAGCUGGGAAGAGCACAGAAAGAAGAAACGCCAUGGCACACCUGCAUCAGAUGCCUUCAUCUGCCCCAUCUGUAAUAAACAUUUCACUCCCAUAUCAGUCUCUACAGUCACAACAGGUGCUGUAACUCUCCAAUGGUUUGUCUUCACCCCCAAAGGCAACUCCUCCAUUGUCUCCUGAGACAGACAGAUGCCAACCAACCUCGCUGAUUUUUGAGCCUGCAUGUGAUAUUCAAUUGCAGGUCUGCCCCUUUGCUGUGUGUCAUACAGCAGUGUGAUGGAACCUCAGGGACUCAUAUUAUCAGCAAAUCUUGACUACACCUACAGAAAGGGAUGAUAGAAAAUUCUAAACCACGAUGUAUUUAGAACUAAGAAUAUAAAAUAUGUUGAUUGUAAGAGUUGUUUUGUUCAGUAUCCAUCAGGUGGCACUGUAACAUUACAUUGAACAGCAAGCAAGCAAGGU